AAAAGGAGCUGUUGGUUUUUAAAAGUAACGGUUCUAAGAAGGAUAUAGAUUCUCCCGCCCGCCUCCGCUAAGCCAGGGCUUUUACCGGAUGUCUGUGGGGCCGGAUACCUCCUAGGCUUCCGCGUGAUUGCCGGAGAUAGGGCGUCCGUGCGGAAAUGGUGUUUGUUUCUUGAAACAUCUCGGCAUCUCCGCAGGCUAUAUUCAAUCUGGAGCCGAUAAAAAAACUCUAUAACUAACCAUACCGUGGAUUUUAAAGUAUCCAAGUCAGUGGAGUGAGGACGUGCAGCCUACUAUAACUCUAAGUCUGUGUUUGUUGAUUAUGAAGAUGGCCGUAGGGGGCCCGUGACUCGGUCUUUUUCUGUUUUGAAGACCCCCUGAGGGAACAAGGCUUUACCCUCACCUCCUUGUAAAUUUCCAAAGUCUGUGGUCAUAAGAAACCUGCCAGCAGUAACUGGGGAACUUCCUUCCUUGUCCACGAAACAUACCCGGAAGUGGAAUUGCUGGAGCAUGUGGUAGUUCUAUUUUUAAUUUUUUGAGGAACUUCCAUAUUCUUUUAAAAAGGAAGGAAAAUCUGAUAUAUGCUGCAACAUGGAUGAACCUUGAGGAUAUUAUGCUAUGUAAAAUAAGCCAGUCACACACACACACAAAAGACAAAUACCAUAUGAUUCCACUUAUAUGAAGUAUUUAGAAUAGUCAAAAUCAUAGACAGAGCAAGUAGAAUGGUGUUUGCCAGGGGCUGGAGAGGAGGGAGAAUGAGGAGUUACCAUUUAAUGGGUAUAGGUUUCAGCUUUAAAAGAUAAAACGAGUUCUGGAGAUGGAUGAUUGUGAUGGUUGCAUGACAUUAUGAAUGUAUUUAAUACUACUGAACUGUACACUUAAAAUGGUUAAGUUGGUAAAUUUUAUGUUAUGUGUAAAAUUGUAAUUAAAUAAUGCGAUUACUGAUACUUGAAAAUUUUUGUCAGUAUUUUCUACCUUUUAUAUUGCAAGUUUCUUUUAUAUUGUAGAAUAUACAGUGAGAAUUUCCUUUUCUCAUGUAAAAUUCUUUUUACAGUGGGUAAUUUCUUGAGUAAAAAAUGUUUAAUAAAAAGAAGCUUCAAGUGUUCUUCAAAGGGAAAUGUCAAGAGGGAAAUUGUGUAAGAAUUUUUAUUUUAAGCUGAUGUGAAUUUUAAUAAAUUAAAACGUUUGAUUUAAA